rnacentral:rRNA from 1 species
UACGUAGGGGGCAAGCGUUGUCCGGAUUUAUUGGGCGUAAAGAGCGUGUAGGCGGCCUGAAAGGUCAGCUGUGAAAACUCGAGGCUCAACCUCGAGACGUCGGUUGAAACCAUCUGGCUAGAGUCCGGAAGAGGAGUGUGGAAUUCCGGGUGUAGUGGUGAAAUGCGUAGAGAUCCGGAGGAACACCAGUGGCGAAGGCGACACGCUGGGCCGUACCUGACACUGAUGCGCGACAGCAUGGGGAGCAAACAGG